GCAUAUGUAAAUUUGUUACAUUUGUAUUUCCAGGUGGUCCAGGGUUGGAUGAGGACCUAUCAACAGCGCAGACCCUUGCUUUCAAGGGAUCCUGAUGCAUGAAAAUAAAGAUUCACAAGAUGGACAAUUUUGAGCAAUAAGCUACUGAUUUUUCCCUGGCAGUUUGAAGCGAUGAGCCUAGAAGAGCUUUAGUGAAAUGAGAAAUGACUCAAGCGUUGGGAUCAUACUUGUUCAUCUCAGGUCUCCUCUUGCAAAUAUACUCCAUUUAAAGUGCAGCGUUGCUGUCUGAAUAGUAAGACUCAAGAAGGAUGUUAAUUUGCCACUGUUACAAUUUAUUUAUUUAUUUUAGUUUUAUGUAUUUUACUGAGGUUCUGUGCUAUUAAAUCCUUGUGAGAGCUGUUCAUUUUACUGAGUAUGCAUGAAUGUGAUUGCUCACUGUGAGUAAACCAAGACCAAACAAGGUCAUCGUGCUAAACCAUCACAACACGCAAGAAACUGUUUUUUAUUCUCCAAGAAAACUAGUUUGUCAAGAGAAUCGCCCUGUUCAAAGCAUGUUGCCGCCAUUUGUUUCAUUAUGCUGGACACACUCAUGCUCUGGCCAAUUCAUGAGAACACCUGCGUUAGAUUUGAACUAACCAGAAUGUGAGAGUGCUAAAUUAAAUAUUUAAAGACAGACCCCGAAAUAAACAUUGUCAUCAUUUACUCACUUUCAUGUUGUUCUAAACCUGUAUCUAUUUCUUUCUACUGUGGACUACAAGAGAAGAUGUUGCAGUCCAAACAACAUUGGACCCCAAUAAAUUUCAUUGUAUGGACAAAAAAUAAAUAAAUAAUGGAACUUUUUUUUUUUUUUUUUUUUUCAAAAUUUGUUUAGUGUGUCAUAAUUCUGUAAAACCACUCUUGUAACAUGGACAAAAGCAGUGAAGACAUUUUCAAAAUGGGUUAAUUCCAUCCACUUCCCUCUAGCAGUUGGUGGUUGAGAAAGGAAAUUUUUGAGUUUUUGCAAAUACACAAGAGUAAUUGCUAUUGCUAAUCAGAAGCAGAACCAAAAGACAUUCUCAUUCUAGAGAGCAUUUUAUUGGACAACAAAUGUGAAUAUACCCGUGAGUGCAAGAUGAGUCAUCAAUAUUUUUUGCCCGUUUUGCUGGAAAAAUGUACACAUAUUGCAUAACUUAGCAAAAAUAUAUUUGCUGAAAUAUAUUUGCUGCUUGUUUAUUUAGUCAACUUUUGGAAAUACACUUGUAUAGAGAUGACCUCAAAGCUAAAAGACAUGUAAUCACAAAUUUUGUUUUAUGUGUUCUUCUUUGUCUCUGUGUACAGUCAUAAAAACUGAUUGUUAAAUGUGAGGUUUUGUGCAAUGUGAACAGUGCAAGAAGAGAGCGAGUGAUUCUGGGUGUGGUUUUUAUUUAUUUAUUUAUUUUGUGUUUUGUUCCACUGAAAUUAACUGAUGUUAUCAAUGAGUUUACAGUCUGGUGCUUGGUUGUUAAAUAUCAUAUGGUUCUAUCAAAUAAUUUGGUAACACUUUAUUUUACAGUGUUAUUGUUACACAGGUUACAUGUAGUUACUGUAGUAAUAACUAUAAAUUAUGCAUAAUUACAUGCAAUUAAUCCUAAAUCAAACUCUCAUCCUAACCCUAACCCUAUAGUAAGUACAUGCAGUUAAUUAUUAUUACUCUGUACUUAAAUGUAUAAUUACACUGUAACAUGGACACCUUAAAAUAAAGUGUAACCAAUUGUUCUUCCAUUAAUCAGUUCUUAUAUUGUGAGACAUUUGGUCAUUGUCAGCAUAUAAUGUAACCCCUACAUCAACAGUCAGUUUUCAGCUCCACACACACAAGGCUCAGACGAACCACAUCCACAGCCAGAAAUCUUCUCUCUUCCUUCUCUCCCCUCACUGAGGCAGAAGUAUCUAAACUUCUCUCCAUUCAUCCUACUACCUGCCCUCUAGAUCCCAUCUCCUCACACCUUCUACCAGCCAUUGCUCCUACACUUUUACCAGCACUCACACAUCAACAACACAUAUCUCCGCACUGGCAUAUUCCCUACAGCAUUCAAGCAGGCUCAGAAUAUCCAGCUGGACGUUAACCAAUCUGGUUUAAAGAAUGACCAUUCAACCGAUACUGCGUUACUGUUUUGUCACUGAAGCCCUGCGGAUUGCAAAAGCUGAUUCCAAAUCAUCAGUUCUCAUUCUGCUGGAUCUAUCUGCUGCCUUCGACACUGUAUCAUGAGAUCCUUCUGUCCACCCUCUCAUCAAUGGGCAUCAUCGGAACUCCACUUCACUGGUUUGAAUCUUAUCUCACAGGUCUUUCAGGGUUGCCUGGAGGGGGGAUGUAUCCAAAGCACAUCAACUGAUAAUGGGGGUUUCCUCAGGGUUCAGUUCUUUGACCCCUCCUCUCUUCCAUGUACACUACAUCACUGGGAACCAUCAUACAGACACAUGGUUUCUCAUACCAUUGCUAUGCUGAUGACACAGAUCUAGCUUUCAUUUCAGCCACAUGAUCCAGCAGUAGCUGCACGAAUCUCAAGCUGUCUGGCAGACAUCUCGGCAUGGAUGAAAGAACAUCACCUGCAGCUCAACCUGGCAAAGACUGAUCUUCUUGUCCUCCCUGCCAAUCUGACUCUACAGCACGAUUUCACCAUCCUGCUAGGUUCAUCAUCAAUUUCCCCAUCUAGGUCGGUCAGAAAAAUUGGAAUAAUCUUGACCAGCUGACCUUCAAAGACCACAUGCAAAGACAGCUCGGUCAUGCAGGUUUGCACUACGCAACAUCAGGAAGAUCAGGCCUUUCCUAACUCAGCAAGCAACACAACUUCUCAUCCAAUCCCUGGUCAUUUCUAGGCUUGAUUACUGAAAUGCUCUUCUGACUGGACUUCCGUCAUGUGCAAUCAUAACCUCUUCAAAUGAUACAGAAUGCUGCUGCACAUAUUUUCUUCAAAGGGCCCACGUCACACCUCUCUUCAUCUCUCUGCACUGGCUACCACAUGCUGCUCGCAUCAAGUUCAAGGCAUUGAUGCUUGCUUACAGAUCUACCACAGGCUCAGCACCCUCCUACUUCCACUCGCUCUUACGAGUCUACAUCCCUACCAGAAGCCUGUGAUUGGUAAGUGAGCAACGGCUCGUGGUACCAUCACAGAGAGGCACAAAAUCACUCUCCAAAACAUUUUUGUUUACUGUUCCUUACUGGUGGAAUUCAAAAGACAGCAGAAAACUCAUCUCUUCUAUUCUAGUUUGUGCUACUCUAAGCAAUGAUUGAAACUUCAUAUUAUGAGCACUUCUUGUGUUUAUUUGCGUCUUUAUGUUGAAUCACUUGCUGUAUUCCUCAUUUGUAAGUUGCUUUGGAUAAAAGCAUCUGCAAAAUGAAUAAAUGUAAAUAUAGAAUCUG